rnacentral:rRNA from 1 species
UACGUAGGGGGCAAGCGUUAUCCGGAUUUACUGGGUGUAAAGGGAGCGUAGACGGCAAUGCAGGUCUGGAGUGAAAGGCGGGGGCCCAACCCCCGGACUGCUCUGGAAACUGUAUAGCUGGAGUGCAGGAGAGGUAAGUGGAAUUCCUAGUGUAGCGGUGAAAUGCGUAGAUAUUAGGAGGAACACCAGUGGCGAAGGCGGCUUACUGGACUGUAACUGACGUUGCGGCUCGAAAGCGUGGGGAGCAAACAGG